AGUGAACGCUGGCGGUAGGCCUAACACAUGCAAGUCGAACGGCAGCACAGUAAUAGCUUGCUCUUACGGGUGUCGAGUGUCGGACGCUUGAGUAAUACAUCGGAUUCUACUUUUUCGUGGGGGAUAACGUAGGGAAACUUACGCUAAUACCGCAUACGACCUACGUGUGAAAGCAGGCGAUCUUCGGACCUUUCGCGAUUGAAUGAGCCGAUGUCGGAUUAGCUAGUUGGCGGGGUAAAGGCCCACCCAGGCGACGAUCCGUAGCUGGUCUGAGAGGAUGAUCAGCUACAUUGGAAGUGAGAAACGGUCGAGACACUUACGGGAGGAAGCAGUGGGGACUAUUGGACAAUGGGGGAAAGGGUGAUACAGCAAAAUCGGGUGGGUGAAGAAGGAGUUAGGCUUGUAAAGUAAUGUAGUUGGGAAAGAAAAGAAGCAGGUUAAUACGCCGCUGUUCUGACGGUACCCAAAGAAUAAGCACCGGCUAACUUCGUG
rnacentral:rRNA from 1 species